rnacentral:pre_miRNA from 1 species
UUAGAGGAUUUGAAGACUUCCACUUGCAUACUUAGAGUAUUUGAAGACUUCAACUUGUAAACUUGAAGAAUUUGAAGACUUAGUU